GCCGGCCGCGAGAGCCAUGUUGGAGCCGGCGUUCAGGGGCGGCUCAGAGCCCGGGCCGAGGGGUAUCCCCGCUCCACGCGCUGCCCCCCGCCACUCCCUCAGCGCCCUCUUUGCCGCCGUCCCCUCACACCAGGACAGAGCCCCCCGACCCACAACCACCUGUCACGCGGCGCUGUCCCCGCACGCUGCCCACCACGAAGUUGCCCUCAGCCCCAGUGCCGGGCGCUCCCGGGGCUCUCCGCCUCUCCCUGACCCCUAGCUGAAGUUGCCCUGAGGCUGCUGCCCCCCAGGAGGCGGCUGCGAGCCCACCUCAGACUCACCGUCUCCCUGCGCCUGGAUAAAGACGCCCGUUACCGGUCCUUGAUACCAGAGCUCGCCUCGCGCCCUCAGGGGAGUCCCCUCGCUCCACGUCCCACAGCUUCAGCCCGGCUGGGCGUCCCGCCCGGGAAAGCUGCGAGCGCAGGAAGGCAGCUGACACCAAACUGACAACUGAGCAGAACUGCUGUCAUCCUGAACGUGAUGCGGAAAAGUGACAACCCCUGCUGCUCCGGGCUGACCUCCCCCUCCAAUGCACGACAGCAGGAACCUGUUUAUUGAGGGAGUGCACAACUGAGAAACUGUGCAAGUGAAAAUGGCAGCACCAUGAAUCAGAGAGCAGACUGCACUGCUUUAUGUUGAUAGGGCUGAACCUUUCAGCAAGCUUCAGUCUGCCAUUCACACCCUCUUCUAAGGCACUGAUGCACACGGAAAUAACACUAUGGAGCCUUUAGGACCCUCGCUCUUCAUUUGGAGUGGAGAUUCAGAUACCAAGGCAGGAUUUUUCCUUUCUAGCAGUAUGCACACCCUGGUUUUAAAACACUGCACAAGCGCUUUGAACACUGCAGAGUUAAAACAAAUGGAUUAUAUUUUAUCCUUAACCAGAAACUCAGUCUAAAUCAAGGCAGCUGUUUCUGAAGUGUCCUUUCACCUGGAAUUUCCUCACCAUCUCCUCCUCAUCUUCCAAAGGCUGUUGAAAACUCACAGUAUAUUAUUGAGGUCAAUACAUUUAGAACAAUUUUUCUCAUGAUUUACGUGCUAUAUUUUGCCUCAGUUCUGCUAGAGAGAAUAGCUGCUUUUUUUUUCUGGGCACCAGGCCCAGUUUAUUCUUAAUUUUGUCUACAGAUUGUACAGUUUCCCAGAUACCAUACCAGAGAUGAGCAUUUUAUAAGUUAAUAAAACAAUAAAUAAAACAAAGUAUGUUCUCAUAUCCCCAAGUAAUAACUGGAACUUUAAAAGCCUUGCCUUGUUUUAUAGAAGCUUUUCUAUGUUAUUGUUACUGCAUAAAAAUAUACCAAAUUAUUUCAAAUGCUAAAAAAUAAGGUCAAUAAUUUGUAGGGAAUAGUUCAAAUGUGAUGUUUCAUUUCUUAAACAAACAGUUCCACUGUUGAAGGUGUUACAUAUUAGUUGUAUUACAGUUCACAUAAUUAUACUGUAUUUUUAGAAUAAAAAGAAGAAAAACUUACCGUGUA